rnacentral:misc_RNA from 1 species
ACACCUCAACUCUUCAUGGUUUUCCUUGAUGAGCUUGGACUUUGGGGGUCUUGCUGGCCUGUGGGUCGGCUCCCCUCAAAUGAAUCAGCUUGCCAGUGUUUUGGUGGCAUCACAGGUGUGAUAACUAUCUAUACUUGUGGUUUUCCACCAAGUAACCUUCAGCAAUGGGGGUUCGCUGGAGCUCACAAACGUCUCUCAUCAGUGGGGGACAGCCCUUUGAAC